rnacentral:rRNA from 1 species
GACAUAGGUGGCGAACGUUAUCCGGAUUUAUUGGGCGUAAAGGAUGCGUAGGUGGUAGAAUAAGUUAUUGGUCGAAGUCAGGCUCAACUUGACGGAAGCUGGUAAAACUAUUUUGCUAGAGGAUAGGAGAGGUUAGCGGAACUCUAUGAGUAAGGGUGAAAUCUGUUGAUCCAUGGAGGACCACCAGUGGCGAAGGCGGCUAUCUGGACGGUUUCUGACGCUAAGACGCGAAAGCGUGGGGAGCAAACAGG